ACGACCUUACUUGUACAGGGUCUGUUCUAUAGGAUCAUACCUUUGUGUCCUUGAGUUCGUACAUCCACCUGGAUA
rnacentral:sRNA from 1 species